GAUGCAAGCGUUAUCCGGAAUCAUUGGGCGUAAAGCGCCUGUAGGUUGUUUAAUAAGUCUGUUGUUAAAGACUGGGGCUUAACCCCAGGAAAGCAAUGGAAACUACUAGACUUGAGUAUGAUAGGGGUAGAGGGAAUUUCUAGUGUAGCGGUGAAAUGCGUAGAUAUUAGGAAGAACACCGGUGGCGAAGGCGCUCUACUGGAUCAUUACUGACACUCAGAGGCGAAAGCUAGGGUAGCAAAAGGGAUUAGAUACCCCUGUAGUCCUAGCCGUAAACGAUGGAUACUAGAUGUUGCGUUUAUUAUGCAGUAUCGUAGCUAACGCGUUAAGUAUCCCGCCUGGGGAGUACGCUCGCAAG
rnacentral:rRNA from 1 species